AGGUGGAAGGCUCCCGGGUCCGUUGCCUCAAGACAUUCCUCUUGGCUAACAAGAGUAUAUGUCGCGUUCACCUUCUCACCGAGCAUCAGUCACCUGUAAAAAGACACAGCUGACGAGACUAUAUGUCACGUUCAACUUCUCACCGGGCAUCAAUU